rnacentral:rRNA from 1 species
AUUGAACGCUGGCGGCAGGCCUAACACAUGCAAGUCGAACGAGUGGCGGACGUGUGAGUAAUGUCUGGGAACCUGCCCGAUGGAGGGGGAUAACUACUGGAAACGGUAGCUAAUACCGCAUACCAUCGGAUGUGACCAUAUGGGAUUAGCUUGGAGGUGAGGUAACGGCUCACAUAGGCGACGCUCCCUAGCUGGUCUGACAGGAUGACCAGCGACAUGGGAACUGAGACACGGUCCAUACGCGUACGGGAUGCAGCAGUGGGGAAUAUUGCGAAAUGUGCGCAAGUCUUAUGCAGCAAUGCCGCGUGUAUGAAGAAGGCCUUUGGUUUGUAAAGUACUUGCAGCGGGGAGGCGGUACCCGCACAAGAAGCAACGGCUAACGCAGUGCCAGCAGCCGCGGUAAUAC